AACGUCUCCACAAUGGCCAAGAGCAGAGCAGGACAGAGGAGCCUCUUAAAGAAGAAGUUACAGUCAUCUCAGACCCGCCCUGGCACAGUACCUGGACUUCACCCCCACGCCGAUGACCUCCGAUCUCCAGAAACUUGGCUGACCUCUGAGUAAUUGGACUUCAUGGAGGCGCCCGAGGAGACAUUGUUUAUGAAGGUGUGGUACCUUGGGAAAGACUGAGGAGACCAACACUAUAAAGCCAGGUGGGAGAUUGCUGGAGAGCACGGAAAUCUGCUGGACGAUGACAACUGGUGAAACCACACAUGAAAGACAAUCAUGUUGAGUGAACAAUUAUCUUCACCUCAUGAUUCAUGAUAGUGUGUUUGUGUGUCUGUCUAGAAACAUUAAAAUAUGUUAUUUCCUUAAUAAAGAUGCAUUUCUUCA